rnacentral:lncRNA from 1 species
AUAAUAUAUGUCUAAAAAUAUGAAUCACAAGACAUGUAAGUUGUAGAGAUCCAUCCAUCAUGGAUCUUAGCAAGCUAGUGGGAGCUAUAAGCGUCUUAUGAGAGAAAGGUCAAAUCGUUUGCUUUCUCAUAAAGAUGUAAAUGAAUCUUUUGUUUACUAGGUUUACAAAAGAUUAGUGGUAGUUAAUCAUAUUCCUAAAUUUGUAUAUAUAUAUAUAUAAAUAUAUAUGUGAUAUGUAUGAAUAUAUAUAUGAUAUAUUAAUUUUGGAAGUGAAAAGAAUAUUUCUUCGUUAAAGUUAUGACUUUAAGCAUUCUAUAACGAUAGAAUGUAUAUGGGAGACAUAGUCUAUAUACAUGGGAUGGAAAUCUAUAUUGAUAGAUUUCAAGAUAUAAUUUGAUUAUAUCAAUCCCUAAUAAUAGACAAAAGUUGCUAGGAAGUUUCUCAUAUGAUGAUAAACUUCAAUUAGAAGGAUGACUCUAGUGUGACUAGCAAGUUGCCCUUCUCAAAGGGAACGUGCCCUUUUGACUCCCAAAGAAAUAAUGCGUAAAUAGAAUCCUUUAUGCAUACGCAGAAAGGUGAUUUAUGUAUUUCAUAUUAUAUGAAAAACAUUGAUAUGAGUUGUACCUGGAAAGGUACAAGACGAUAUCAGUGCAAGCCCAGGAUCAGACCCAUGGCAACUGUCAAGUGAGUCCUUAAGUAUUUAAGAAAUACUAAAGGAUAUAUUCCUCAAAGAAUGAGGAAGAAUUAGAGUAACGUAAAGGAAGCGUAAAUGUAUUAGAUUAUGAAUCUAAUCCAUCAUUGGAUGUUUCUUCAUUAUGAAUGAAGAAAUAAACGGAUAUCUCUUUAUUAUGACUAAAGAGAUAUUUGGAUGGAAACAUUAAAGUAAUGACUUUAGUGUGUUCCAUUAUGAAUGCAAAAUAUAUUGCCAUAAAGAAGCUUACAACAAUGUUGUUUGGAUGGGAAAGUUCAUUUAUGAACUCUUUAUUCGGUUCCAACCAGAAAGUGUAUGACACUAAUGGGGCGAUAGCUCAAGCCAGGGAAUCAAGGUCUCAUCAAGAUCCGAACUCAUAUGAGAGACUGAACCACAUGAUUGAGAAUCAUGUAUAAUGGUGACGUUGUUAUUCUCAAGGUUGCUUCUAUGGAUAACAUAUAGAUAUCCAUUGCCUAGGCCUACUAUUCAGCCAUUUAUGAAAUGACUACAUAAGAGGUAUCAUCACUGAUGACCAAGCUGAUUGGCUCUAGUCCAAGUGGGAGAUUGUUGGAAAUGUGCCCUAAAACCAAUCAUAUGAUGAUACUUUACGGACAUUUCGCAUGUUAAACUAAUCUAGUU